AAUACUGGGUAAUAUGAAUAGUGCCUUAAGGGCAGGUUUAAUGUUUCUUAUAGAGAUGUGCACACACAAACAAUAUCGAGAGAAUCGCUUUUGCUUUUACAACAGAUUUUAGACUUAAUAGGGAACCCGAUAAAAUUCGUCGAUUUUUAGACAGAAAACAAAUAAGACAUUUAGACAAUAUUUCAAAAAGAAAUGUUGUUGUAUUUCCAUCUCCUGGUACCUAUGUGGAGGAAAGAUUUUACCGAUUUAUGGUCCAGCAGAUAACACCAUUUCGAGAACACGAGUAUAAAUAUGUUGCUUUAGAAAUAGAAAACGAUGAAAAUGACGACGAUGCAAAUGCGGCCCGUUUCAUAUAUGCACAUAUCGAGAAAUUAAUCCAGUCGGACAAUUCUUCAACGUUGAAUCUUAGAUAUUGGUUAAUAUUGGAUAUAGCCGUGGAGGAACUAUUGUUGUGCCGAUAUUUCGACUUUUUAAAUUCAUACCCUUAACUAAAGUGACCAGCCAGGAAGUUGUGGAAUACGACUCUGAACCUAUCUCAUCAAUUCCGUUUGAUACAAACUGUCAGCGUAUUAUGGAUGAGUUACAAGAAGCAUUUGACAACUUCAACAUUCAGGACAGAAAGCGAAUAAUUCGGCGCAUGCUGUUGAGAUGGCAUCCAGAUAGAAUCCAGAUCAUGAAGAAUAUUCGAAGCGUGUCUUUUUUUCCAUUCAGAACUGCAUUCUUAGACUCGAACGUGGCGAACAACUUAAUCUACAACCGGAGCCGGAUAUGCCAGACAUGCGCGGUUCGAGAUACUGGAACGUUUGCGUAGAUGCAACAAAUACAGGCCACGUUCAUACGAGAGGUUACCAAGAAAAUCUAGAAAACUUCAAUAGGUUCAAUAGAAGAGGGACUCAUAGGUUGUCUGAGUAUUCUCCCGUUUCAAGCCCAGGGGAAUAUAGACGCUGGAUAAGACAAGCUAAACUCGACUUUCAAACUGGUCAAUCUCACUUGAAUUGCGCUGAAACCACCCUGCCACAUAUAACUGGAUAUGUUAUAAUUGCCAUCAGGCGUGUGAGAAGGCUCUGAAAGCUGCAUGGUUUCUGAAAGACGCCAACAAAUGCCGUAUGCGGGAGCAUAGUCUUGUGAGAAUUGCAGAAGGACUGGACGAUGCAAUUGUUCAAAUGGCAAUUGAAUUUGAGGACCGGCUCAGUCUUCAAGGACCAGCAAAUUUCAGACUCCGUUAUCCGGAUAGUGUGAACAGUUGUCAGAUCCCAUCCGAGGUUUUCUGUAAGGAGGACGCGGAGUAUGCUGUAACAACUGCAAAGACGAUAUUGCAACUAGUUGAGGAAUUAAUAAGAUAAUUUCAAAACUGACAUUUUGCGGUAUGAUUGUGUAUGCAAAUAACAUACCGGCAUAUAUUUACGUAAUGGAAAAUAAUUGCCAAGGAAAAGUAUUUGGGAUGUUUGUACAUUUUGUAAAUAAGUUUUCUGUUUGAAUGUAAGCAUUAUAAGGGAAUUAUGUAUUUAUUUAUGCAUAGUUCAUGAUUGUUGUAAAAUUGGUGUGCAUUUCUUCGGCAGUUGUCGUCGUAGGUAUGAUCCAUUUAAAUGUUCCAUUUAAGUUUGUUCAUCUGAAGAUUUGUCCAAGGAAACCUAGUAAACGAAUGGUCAUUGUAAAAUCUACUUGGUUGAAAAUUCAUAAGAUUCAUCAUAGAACUUGUUCGUCAUCGUACCCGUAAGCACAAGCUGAAGUUUGACAAAAUGUUAUUAUGGUUGGGCCUAUAAGAUAUAUAUUUAUAAAAAUGUGAAAACAUGUGCUAGUUCAAUCAAAAUGUUUGCAAGCAUAUUUCCAUUUAAUCUAUUUUUUAUGUAUUUGUUUGAUGUACAUGUGUAAGGUUCUUCUGUCAGAUUGCACAAAAUGAGUUUUAAAAUCAUGAGAUUUCGUCUUGUUUUUUUUUAAAACAAAUAAGCUAACCCGUAGUGCUAUCAAAAACGCACUAAAAUGUAAAUAUAAAUGUCGUUGACAUUUCUUGAAAUUGUAUAUGUGUGUGUUAUAACUAGUUUAUGAGACGUACACAACCACACGUGUUUAUUUGUAAAUAUAGCAUACACUUGUAUCAUAAUUUCUAUGUUGUUUUUAUUGUUAAAAUCACGCUAAGUGUUGUCAGUUUAUAUAUGUUCACUGUUUCAAUGCUUGAAAUAUUUGUUUAAAGAAUUUUUUAAAUAAUUUAAGCGUAUAAUAAAUAGAAAAGUAAAUAGAUAUAACAUGAUGUUGUACAGUAGUUCUGACGAAAUAUGUCAGUUACACAACUGACUGACGGUAUUUUGUCGGAAUGGAAAUGUGUAAAUUUGUCAGAUUUUGUUUCAAUUACUUGAGUAACGUGAUAUAUGCGUCAAUAAAUAUAUAUAUAUAUAUUAAUAUUCAUUUUCCUGCUGAAAAUGUUUGUAUACAAAAUUGUACAAAAGAGUGGGUUUCAUUAGUGAUUGAACAGUCAUAUAAAGUAGUUUGUUGUAAAUAUUUUGAGGAUAUAAAUUCAGUAAACAAGUGGUUUAUAUUAGUGAUUGAACAAGCAUAUAAUGUAGUUUGUUGUAAAUACUUUGAUAAUCUAUAUGCAGUAAACAAGUGGUUUAUAGAAGUGACUGAACAGUCAUAUAAAGUAGUUUGUUGUAAAUAUUUUGAGGAUAUAUAUGCAGUAAACAAGUGGUUUAUAGUAGUGACUGAACAGUCAUAUAAAGUAGUUUGUUGUAAAUAUUUUGAGGAUAUAUAUACAGUAAACAAGUGGUUUAUAUUAGUGAUUGAACAAGCAUAUAAAGUAGUUUGUUGUAAAUACUUGGAUAAUCUAUAUGCAGUAAACAAGUGGUUUAUAGUAGUGACUGAACAGUCAUAUAAAGUAGUUUGUUGUAAAUAUUUUGAGGAUAUAUAUGCAGUAAACAAGUGGUUUAUAGUAGUUAUUGAACAGUCAUAUAAAGUAGUGUGUUGUAAAUACUUUGAUAAUCUAUAUGCAGUUAACAAGUGGUUUAUUGUAAAUACUUUGAGGAUCUAUAUGCAGUAAACAAGUGGUUUAUAGUAGUGACUGAACAGUCAUAUAAAGUAGUUUGUUGUAAAUACUUUGAUAAUCUAUAUGCAGUUAACAAGUGGUUUAUUGCAAAUACUUUGAGGAUCUAUAUGCAGUAAACAAGUGGUUUAUAGUAGUGACUGAACAGUCAUAUAAAGUAGUUUGUUGUAAAUACUUGAGGAUCUAUAUGCAGUAAACAAGUGGUUUAUUGUAAAUACUUGAGGAUCUAUAUGCAGUAAACAAGUGGUUUAUAGUAGUGACUGAACAGUAAUAUAAAGUAGUUUGUUGUAAGUACUUGAGGAUCUAUAUGCAGUAAACAAGUGGUUUAUUGUAAAUACUUUGAGGAUCUAUAUGCAGUAAACAAGUGGUUUAUAGUAGUGACGGAACAGUCAUAUAAAGUAGUUUGUUGUAAAUACUUGAGGAUCUAUAUGCAGUAAACAAGUGGUUUAUAUUAAGUAUUGAACAAUCAUAUAAAGUAGUUUGUUGUAAAUACGUUGAUGAUCUAUAUGCAGUUUCAAAACUAGAAAGACGUUGUAACCUGUAACCACUGUUAAACGGAAUGUAAAUAUUUUGCAUUCAGCGUAUUGUGUUGACAUACUUAUGCUUCAACUACUUCUUGUUGUCUUGUACAAUAUAUUUAACAUUUAAGUUUUUGAACUGAUCUUUUUCCUUGAUGCGUUUUCAACUUAUUGGCAUAUGCUUUAUUAUUGUGCAUAUGUGCAAGAAUCAGUAGUGGUUAAUCUUAUAUUGUUUUAUAGAGAGUUGAGUUAUGCCGUUUGCAUGGUGUGUCAUACGUUUAUUAACAUAACUAUAAUAUAAUUGUUUCGCAUUAAGUAAACGCUUCAUUCUCGGUUUAAAAUUGAUUAAGUAUAAGUGUUAUAAAAGUUAUGAAUCAGUUUUCAGUAUGAGUAGUGUACGUGAAACUUCUAAAUAUAAUGUAUAUAGCCUGUUUGUGUGUGAAUGUCGUUAGUUUUCUGUAUGAAUCAUACAACAAAUUGAAAUGUAUUCGUUUUCUUAUGGUUUAUUACAUUUUGUAUUUUGAAUACGUUUGCAUGUUAAUUCGGAGUUAUUAUGGAAUUAUGUUUUAGCUGUUCCAACUAUAAUUGCAUAUGUUUUAUUCGAUAUAAAUUAAACGUUAUAAAAUAAAAGCAUAAUCUGUGGAAAAUAUGUGCAUUUACAAUUUGAAUUUGUCGUCAUACUUGUUUGGACAUCUCAUAUGGCAGGCACAAUAUUGUCAAUAUAAUUAUGUAUCCGUAAACUAAUACAUACUGUUUUCAAAAACUACAAAUUACCUGAUGUUAAUAUAAGAGGUUAGUGUGAUCAUUUGCAGAAAUAAUGAAGACGUUCUUAUGAUGGAAUCAAAUACUCUUAAUAUUCAAAUACACUUUGUAUACUACGCAGAUUUUGUAAAGGUUGAGGUAUAUUUGAUGUUUUAAAUCAUCGUGUACUUCUCCUUUUAGACGUAUAUAUGCAUUUAAAAAAGAUGACAAGUUAAUAAUUGUUUAUCAUUUUAGAAUUGUAUACAUGGUGUUAUAUUAUAUUUCAUAAUUAUGUCUAAUAAACGCUCAUUGAAUUGUAUACCCAUACGCAUACGGAUUACAUUUGAUUUCCCUAAAUAACUAUUUUUGACUCCGACAAAGAUGGUUCAUUUUGUUAUUAUACCCCCAUUACCAUUGGUAAUGGGGGCUAUAUAAGAGUCACUUUGUCGGUCUGUCUGUCGGUCGGUCGGUCUGUCUGUCUGUCCCGAAAUCUUGUCCGGGCAAUAACUAUGUUGUUCAUUGAGAGAUUUUAAAAUCAUUUGGCACAUUUGUUCACCAUCAUUGGACGGUGUGUCGCUCGAAAGAAUUACGUCGAUAUCUCAAAGAUCACACUUUGAGUUCAAAGGUCAAAGUUGGCAAUAAAUGAGCUUGUCCGGGUCAUAACUUUGUCAUUUAUUGUGAGAUUUUAAAGUCAUUUGGCUCAUUUGUUCACCAUAAUUGGACGGUGUGUCGCGCAAAAGAAUUACAUCGAUAUCUCCAAGGUCAAGAUCACACUUUGAGUUCAAAGGUUAAAAAUGGCCAUACAUUAGCUUGUUCGGGCAAUAACUAUGUCGUUCAUUGUGAGAUUUUAAAAUCAUAUGGCACAUUUGUUCACCAUCAUUGGACGGUGUGUUGCGCGAAAGAAUUACGUCGAUAUCUCCGAGGUCAAGGUCACACUUUGAGUUCAAAUGUCAAAAAUGGCCAUAAAUGAGCUUGUCCGGGCCAUGACUAUGUCGUUCAUUGUGAGAUUUUAAAAUCAUUUGGCACAUUUAUUCACCAUCACUGGACAGUGUGUUUCGUUCCAUUACAAUGCUGUAAAUUAAUUUAUAUUUUCGCGUGAUUUUCAUUAUAAUAUAUUGAAAAACACAUUCAAUGUUAUGCUUGCAUAUGUAUGACCCUAACAGAGUGGGGCCGGUUUAUGUAUUGUGAAUAUUAUAUAUUUUAUAUGUUUAAACGUGUGUUUCUGUUGAAAUACUCUGUAGUAUAAUAUAUUGUGUAUAAUUAACCCCAAGUAUAAAAUAUGGGAAUAUCACACAUUUAUAUAGUGUGUUAAUAUAAUACAUGUUUAUAAAUGACAAAGAAAGCCGAUGUUAUAUAUUAUUACAUGUUAUUUAUAAUUUAAUACAUGUAUGUUUUUCUGUUGAUUUCUGUAUAAUCUCUAAUAAUUUGUCUUGUAAAAAUACAAGUGUGCAUCCUAUAAUGUAAAUCAACAUUGUCUAUACAUUCAAGGAUGUUCUUAGCUCAUUUAACUAUAAUGUUCUCAUUUUAGCCUUAUGUGAUCACCAUUUGUAAACACUAAACAGAUUAUAUCUCGUGCUCAAUCAUUAUGACUCUUGGCCACAACAUCUGUCAAAUUAAUAUCUUAGAAAACGUCCGAAACCGGUUCUGUUAGUGGCAGACAUCCGUUCCCUAAGUCAAAUUGAAGACAAAGCUUGUAAACACGCCAGCUUUCAAAUGUUUUGCCUUACCAUCUUGAAGUUUGUUCAGAACAGUUGUCAAAAAUAGAUUUCUACCGAAACAUGGUCCAGUGGACUCAAUCUGAAGACAUUUGUAAAAUUUUAUAUAUAUCAUAUUUACUCCCAAUCUUAAUGGACCCUGGUCAGAACAUUUGUCCCAAUGAUAUCUUGGUCGAGUUCAAAACGGGGGUAUGUGGGGUAAAAACUAGGUCAAUAUGUCAAAGGUAUGAACAUACAUUGGUUUAUUCUGUAAGUUAAAAUUAUUGGAAAAUGUUCGUUAAACUUUGACAGAACCUUUAUCUUAUUUAAACCGAAUUAGAAACUUGGUUACUUGUUUCCACAUUACUACCAUAUCAAUAGAAUAUGCAGAUUACUAACACCAUACACUUAGGCGAGUGGCUUAUAGCUCGCAGAGCCCUCUUUUUUAUUUUGUUUCGUUGGUUUUUGUACAAAUUUACUUCGUAAAUUUAAUUCUACAACAAAGAUAUAUAUUUACAAGAUUGUCUACGAUACAAAAGCUAUUAAUAAGAGUCAUUUAUAUUUGUUUCUGUGUACAUACACUACAACAUAUGUGAUCAUACACUUCCUGUCGAGUAUGAGCCUUUUAAAUUCGUUGAAGAUUAUUAGGUAUGAAGACAAUGUUACCAGUCAAUAUUGCAGUCUUUAUAUUCACUUAUUUCGUUGUCUUCCCACGUUUGUUUGUACUAAUGUAAAAGUUAUAUGUUCACGAUUUGUUCACUGUUAUUAUAUUACCGCUCAUUUGCCUCGGAAAUAUACGACUUCUUAUAUGUGCACAAUACUUGCCUACGCAUGUUUUAGUGCAUUACCAUCAUAGGAGUAUAUACAUCUUAAUUGGCUGUAAGAUGAUACCAUUUGCUACCAAAUAUGGCAUUGAUUGGUUUUAUAAUGGCAUCAUUUCAAGCCAUAUCUUAAUGCAACACUAAAAUAUAUCUAACAAAUUGACAAAUGUCAAUAUACAACAUAAGACGUAACAAAUAAUCUUUCUGAUCACGUUUCGUUCAAGGCAUUCAUCAGAAAUACACGGCUUCUAAAAGAGCGGUAAUGUAUUAAUGUUAUAAUAAUUAUGUUGAUAAAUGUUCUUUUGUUCUUUUAUAUGUAGCUAAUAAAAACUGAUACAUAUAACAUAAAAGUUGUCAGUUCGAUAGAGAAAGGCGAUCCUGGUUCAACGACUACGAAAUUACUAAAUCUUAACAUAAAAUAUUGGCAAAUGCAAACUAUAAAUCUUAAGAAUGGGUAUAUGAAACUGGAUAUAAUGGUAGAAUGCUAAUAAUGACAAAUUAUUGUUAUUUGGAUGGUUAAGGUAUAACCUUUUUAGUACAUUAUAAAAAAUAUAUUUUCGUGUGCAAUGCCUCCACUAAAACCAAAAGGCGUAGGGUAUAUGAUUAUUAUUAUUAUUAUAUUCAUCCACGCCAACUUGAAUUUAAUUGAAUGUAUACAUU